GACGAACGCUGGCGGCGUGCUUGACACAUGCAAGUCGAACGGAAAGGCCUGCUUUCCCUUGUGGAUUGCGGGUACUCGAGUGGCGAACGGGUGAGUAACACGUGAGUGAUCUGCCCCCAACUUGGGUAUAAGCCUGGGAAACUGGGUCUAAUUCCCGAUAGGACUGCAGGGUGGUGCCUGUGGUGGAAAACGAUUUUCUAGUGGUUGGGGAUGAGCUCGCGGCCUAUCAGCUUGUUGGUGGGGUAAUGGCCUACCAAGGCGGCGACGGGUAGCCGGCCUGAGAGGGUGGACGGGCACAUUGGGACUGAGAUACGGCCCAGACUCCUACGGGAGGCAGCAGUGGGGAAUAUUGCACAAUGGGCGGAAGCCUGAUGCAGCGACGCCGCGUGGGGGAUGACGGCCUUCGGGUUGUAAACUCCUUUCGACCGCGAGGAAGCCACCUGGUUGGAAGGGUGGUGACGGUAGUGGUAGAAGAAGCACCGGCUAACUACGUG
rnacentral:rRNA from 1 species